CCACAUUGUCAUGGUGGUAAUCCCGCAUGAUCACGACCUGGGGAAACGGGAAAUAUACUUUUGACUUGUGAAGAUGAAGUUGCUUUUUGUUCUCUUGUGGCCACAACUACAAUUAGGGGAAAAGAGUAACGUUGGAGUUGAAAAGCCUGGCAGACACCAUGUUCGACUGAGUGAUCAGAGUGAGCGCCGCCAGCCAUGAAACACACUGAAUCUGGAACAAUGGUGCAGCCCACUAUGGCUUCUCUGAUAGUCCUGCCAAAGGUGCAUCACCUGAACCUGACUAUGAGAAAGUGUCAGCCAAAGGAAAAUGGAGGGACAUUCUGUAAAACAACUGGCCUGUGCUCUUCAGAAGUGCCAAGGCCAAUAUAAAGAAAGGCUGAGGAACUGUUCUGGAAUCAAUAAGACUAAAAAGAGAUAUGACAAAAUAUGCAACAUGUGACUUUCAAUUGGAUCUUCA
rnacentral:lncRNA from 10 species